GAAGGUGUGCUGUGAGGCAUGCUGGAGGUAUCAGAAGUGCGAAUGCUGACAUAAGUAACGAUAAAGCGGGUGAAAAGCCCGCUCGCCGGAAGACCAAGGGUUCCUGUCCAACGUUAAUCGGGGCAGGGUGAGUCGACCCCUAAGGCGAGGCCGAAAGGCGUAGUCGAUGGGAAACAGGUUAAUAUUCCUGUACUUGGUGUUACUGCGAAGGGGGGACGGAGAAGGCUAUGUUGGCCGGGCGACGGUUGUCCCGGUUUAAGCGUGUAGGUGUGUGUUCCAGGUAAAUCCGGUUCACUUUAACACUGAGGCGUGAUGACGAGGCACUACGGUGCUGAAGUAACAAAUGCCCUGCUUCCAGGAAAAGCCUCUAAGCAUCAGGUAACAUCAAAUCGUACCCCAAACCGACACAGGUGGUCAGGUAGAGAAUACCAAGGCGCUUGAGAGAACUCGGGUGAAGGAACUAGGCAAAAUGGUGCCGUAACUUCGGGAGAAGGCACGCUGACAUGUAGGUGAAGCCCCUGCGGGUGGAGCUGAAGUCAGUCGAAGAUACCAGCUGGCUGCAACUGUUUAUUAAAAACACAGCACUGUGCAAACACGAAAGUGGACGUAUACGGUGUGACGCCUGCCCGGUGCCGGAAGGUUAAUUGAUGGGGUUAUCGCAAGAGAAGCUCCUGAUCGAAGCCCCGGUAAACGGCGGCCGUAACUAUAACGGUCCUAAGGUAGCGAAAUUCCUUGUCGGGUAAGUUCCGACCUGCACGAAUGGCGUAAUGAUGGCCAGGCUGUCUCCACCCGAGACUCAGUGAAAUUGAACUCGCUGUGAAGAUGCAGUGUACCCGCGGCAAGACGGAAAGACCCCGUGAACCUUUACUACAGCUUGACACUGAACAUUGAGCCUUGAUGUGUAGGAUAGGUGGGAGGCUUUGAAGCGUGGACGCCAGUCUGCGUGGAGCCAACCUUGAAAUACCACCCUUUAAUGUUUGAUGUUCUAACCUGGCGCCAUAAUCUGGCGUGGGGACAGUGUCUGGUGGGUAGUUUGACUGGGGCGGUCUCCUCCCAAAGUGUAACGGAGGAGCACGAAGGUCAGCUAAUCCUGGUCGGACAUCAGGAGGUUAGUGCAAUGGCAUAAGCUGGCUUGACUGCGAGAGUGACGGCUCGAGCAGGUGCGAAAGCAGGUCAUAGUGAUCCGGUGGUUCUGUAUGGAAGGGCCAUCGCUCAACGGAUAAAAGGUACUCCGGGGAUAACAGGCUGAUACCGCCCAAGAGUUCAUAUCGACGGCGGUGUUUGGCACCUCGAUGUCGGCUCAUCACAUCCUGGGGCUGAAGUAGGUCCCAAGGGUAUGGCUGUUCGCCAUUUAAAGUGGUACGCGAGCUGGGUUUAGAACGUCGUGAGACAGUUCGGUCCCUAUCUGCCGUGGGCGCUGGAGAAUUGAGGGGGGCUGCUCCCAGUACGAGAGGACCGGAGUGGACGCAUCACUGGUGUUCGGGUUGUCAUGCCAAUGGCACUGCCCGGUAGCUAAAUGCGGAAGAGAUAAGUGCUGAAAGCAUCUAAGCACGAAACUUGCCCCGAGAUGAGUUCU
rnacentral:rRNA from 1 species